rnacentral:lncRNA from 1 species
CCUUUACUUGUAGGAGUACAUCUUGGAUUUGUCGAUUAUGUUAUGGCCAGAGUCCUACUCAUGGCGACCAGGUUGAAUUGGGGGAAGCUGUAGGUAUUAUUGCAGGUCAAUCGAUUGGAGAAUCGGGUACUCAAUUAACAUUAAGAACUUUUCAUACCGGAGGAGUAUUCACGGGGGGUACUGCAGAACAUGUGCGAGCCCCAUCUAAUGGAAAAAUCAAAUAUAUAUACAUAUAUAUCCCUUUACUUGUAGGAGUACAUCUUGGAUUUGUCGAUUAUGUUAUGGCCAGAGUCCUACUCAUGGCGACCAGGUUGAAUUGGGGGAAGCUGUAGGUAUUAUUGCAGGUCAAUCGAUUGGAGAACCGGGUACUCAAUUAACAUCUAGAAGUUUUCAUACCGGAUGAGUAUUCACGGGGGGUACUGCAGAACAUGUGCGAGGCCCAUCUAAUGGAAAAAUAAAAUUCAAUGAGGAUUUGGUUCAUCUGACACGUACACGUCAUGGGCAUCCCGCCUUUCUAUGUUCUAUAGACUUG